UAUGUAAGAGCGGGCGGUCUCUUGGUUGGACCGCUCGACGAUUGAGAGUUUCUAGUGGGCCAUUUUUGGUAAGCAGAACUGGCGAUGCGGGAUGAACCGAACGCGAGGUUAAGGUGCCGGAAUACACACUCAUCAGACACCACAAAAGGUGUUAGUUCAUCUAGACAGCAGGACGGUGGCCAUGGAAGUCGGAAUCCGCUAAGGAGUGUGUAACAACUCACCUGCCGAAUGAACUAGCCCUGAAAAUGGAUGGCGCUCAAGUGUGUUACCCAUACCUCGCCGUCCGCGUUGUAGUGACGCGUGGACGAGUAGGCAGGCGUGGAGGUC
rnacentral:rRNA from 1 species